AUCCAGCUGAUGAGUCCCAAAUAGGACAAAGUGUACGUACUGGAU
rnacentral:hammerhead_ribozyme from 1 species